rnacentral:lncRNA from 1 species
ACUAAGUCACAAGGCAACCCUCAUGAUCCCCGGGCAAAAGGGUAGCUCUGUUUUUAAACCCGGAGGAGGCAUCUUCCCCCGGGGGUUGCCGGGCUUCUGUUCCUGUGUGUGUUGGUCUCCAGGAAGCCAUGGAGAGCUUGGCAGCAGAGACAGAGUCUCGAUAUGUCGCCAAGCUUGGUCUCAAACUCCAAGGCUCAAGUGCUCAAGUGAUCCACCCACCUCGACCUCCCAAAGUGCUGGGAUUACAGGGAAAAUAGUAAUUGAGCAUCAGACAUCACCACUCCUGAAAAAAACCUUCUACAAG